rnacentral:piRNA from 1 species
UCAAUAGGGUGAUCAUGAUUUCC